UACGAAGGGGGCUAGCGUUGCUCGGAAUCACUGGGCGUAAAGGGCGCGUAGGCGGCCUGAUAAGUCGGGGGUGAAAGCCCGAGGCUCAACCUCGGAACUGCCUUCGAUACUGCGGGUCUCGAGUCCGGGAGAGGUGAGUGGAAUUCCUAGUGUAGAGGUGAAAUUCGUAGAUAUUAGGAAGAACACCAGUGGCGAAGGCGGCUCACUGGCCCGGUACUGACGCUGAGGCGCGAAAGCGUGGGGAGCAAACAGG
rnacentral:rRNA from 1 species